rnacentral:rRNA from 1 species
GACAGAGGGGGCAAGCGUUGUCCGGAAUUACUGGGCGUAAAGCGCACGCAGGCGGCCCGGCAAGUGGUGUGUGACAGCGAACGGCUUAACCGUCCGAGGCCAUGCCAGACUGCCGAGCUUGAGCCGUGCAGAGGCCAGUGGAAUUGCCGGUGUAGGAGUGACAUCCGUAGAGACCGGCAGGAACACCGAUGGGGAAGCCAGCUGGCUGGGCACGCGCUGACGCUCAGGUGCGAUAGCGUGGGGAGCAAACCGG